GAUAGCUCAGUGGUAGAGCAUUCGGCUGUUAACCGAAGGGUCGUAGGUUCGAACCCUACUC
rnacentral:tRNA from 1 species